rnacentral:tRNA from 1 species
UCCCAGUUAGCUCCAUCAGAAGAGCAUGUGACUCUUGAUUUCAGGGUCAUGAGUUCAAGCCUCACAUUGGGUA